UACAGAGGUGGCAAGCGUUGUUCGGAAUUACUGGGCGUAAAGGGCGCGUAGGCGGUCUUCUAAGUCUUGUGUGAAAUCCCUCGGCUCAACUGAGGAACUGCACGGGAUACUGGAAGACUUGAGUUCGGGAGAGGGAAGCGGAAUUCCGGGUGUAGCGGUGAAAUGCGUAGAUAUCCGGAGGAACACCGGUGGCGAAGGCGGCUUCCUGGACCGAUUACUGACGCUGAGGCGCGAAAGUUAGGGGAGCAAACGGG
rnacentral:rRNA from 1 species